GAAAUGCGAUAAGUAAUGUGAAUUGCAGUAUUCAGUGAAUCAUCGAAUCUUUGAACGCACAUUGCGCCCGCCAGCCAUUCUGGCGGGCAUGCCUGUCCGAGCGUCAUUUCAACCAUCAAGCCCCGUGCUUGUGUUGGGGAGCUGCGGGCCCUCCGGGGCGCGCAGGCCCUGAAAUGCAGUGGCGGGCUCGCUGACACACCGAGCGUAGUAGCAUAAUUCUCGCUCUGGGCGUGCUGCGGGUACCGGCCGUGAAACGACCUCUCGAGAGAGAGGACACCCAAAGGUUGACCUCGGAUCAGGUAGGAAUACCCGCUGAACUUAAGC
rnacentral:misc_RNA from 1 species